rnacentral:rRNA from 1 species
UGAGGAAUAUUGGUCAAUGGGCGAGAGCCUGAACCAGCCAAGUAGCGUGCAGGAUGACGGCCCUAUGGGUUGUAAACUGCUUUUAUAUGGGAAUAAAGUGAGGGACUUGUCUCUUAUUGCAUGUACCAUAUGAAUAAGGACCGGCUAAUUCCGUGCCAGCAGCCGCGGUAAUACGGAAGGUCCGGGCGUUAUCCGGAUUUAUUGGGUUUAAAGGGAGCGUAGGCUGUCUAUUAAGCGUGUUGUGAAAUUUACCGGCUCAACCGGUGGCUUGCAGCGCGAACUGGUCGACUUGAGUAUGCAGGAAGUAGGCGGAAUUCAUGGUGUAGCGGUGAAAUGCUUAGAUAUCAUGACGAACUCCGAUUGCGCAGGCAGCUUACUGUAGCAUAACUGACGCUGAUGCUCGAAAGUGCGGGUAUCAAACAGG